GACGAACGCUGGCGGCGUGCCUAACACAUGCAAGUCGAACGGUGAAGCGCCUUCCUUUUUGGUGGGUGUGGAGGAGUGGCCAACGGGGGAGUAACACGUGAGUAACCUGCUCCCUCCUGCUGGAUAACGGCAGGAAAGUGUGGCUAAUACGGGAUAUUCUGUGCCUGUCGCAUGAUGGGUCUGGGAAAGAUAUUGUUUCGGUGGGGGAUGGGAUCGCGGCCUAUCAGCUUGUUGGUGGGGUGAUGGCCUACCAAGGCGGUGAGGAGUAGCCGGCCUGGGAGGAUGGGCGAUAACGGAAGUGAGACGCGGCCGAGCAGCCUCCGGCAGGCAGCAGCAGGGAGGAUUAUUGAACGGUGGGCAGACGGAUGAAGCAGCGCCGCGGCGUGGAGGAUGGACGUCUGCGGGUUGAGAACCUCUUUCGGGAGUGAAGCAGGGCUGCCUCAUUUGUGGGUGGGUUGACGGUACCUGAAGAAGAAGCGCCGGCUAACUACGUG
rnacentral:rRNA from 1 species